rnacentral:rRNA from 1 species
UACGGAGGGUGCAAGCGUUGUCCGGAAUUAUUGGGCGUAAAGGGCUCGUAGGCGGUCCAUCACGUCGGGAGUGAAAAGCUGGGGCUUAACCGCAGUCCUGCUUCCGAUACGGGUGGACUAGAGGUAGGCAGGGGAGAACGGAAUUCCUGGUGUAGCGGUGAAAUGCGCAGAUAUCAGGAGGAACACCGGUGGCGAAGGCGGUUCUCUGGGCCUUACCUGACGCUGAGGCACGAAAGCGUGGGGAGCAAACAGG